GACGAUCUCUAGCUGUUCUGAUAGGAAGAUCAGCCACACUGGGACUGAGACACGGCCCAGACUCCUACGGGAGGCAGCAGUGGGGAAUAUUGCACAAUGGGGGAAACCCUGAUGCAGCCAUGCCGCGUGUGUGAAGAAGGCCUUCGGGUUGUAAAGCACUUUCAGUUGUGAGGAAAAGUUAGUAGCUAAUACCUGCUAGCCGUGACGUUAACAACAGAAGAAGCACCGGCUAACUCCGUGCCAGCAGCCGCGGUAAUACGGAGGGUGCGAGCGUUAAUCGGAAUUA
rnacentral:rRNA from 1 species